rnacentral:rRNA from 1 species
UUGCGGUUAAAAAGCUCGUAGUUGGAUUUCUGUUGAGGAUGACCGGUCCGCUCUUUGAGCGCGUAUCUGGUUCAGCCUUGGCAUCCUCUUGGGGAACGCUACUGUGCUUGAUUGCAUGGGGCGGUAUUCAAGACUUUUACUUUGAGGAAAUUAGAGUGUUCACUGCAAGCGUUAGCAAUUGAAUACAUUAGCAUGGAAUAAUAAUAUAGGACCUUGGUACUAUUUUGUUGGUUUCUAGAACUAAGGUAAUGAUUAAUAGGGACAAUUGGGGGCAUUCGUAUUAACGCGUCAGAGGUGGAAUUCUUAGAUUGCGUUACGACGAACUACUGCGAAAGCAUUUGCCAAGGAUGUUUUCAUUGAUCAAGAACGAAAGUAUGGGGAUCGAAGACGCUUAGAUACCGUCGUAGUCUAUACCAUAAACUAUGCCAACUAGAGAUUGGAGGUCGUUCUCUUUAUGACUCCUUCAGCACCUUAUGAGAAAUCAAAGUCUUUGGGUUCCGGGGGGAGUAUGGUCGCAAGGCUGAAACUUAAAGGAAUUGACGGAAGGGCACCACCAGGAGUGGAGCCUGCGGCUUAAUUUGACUCAACACGGGAAAACUUACCAGGUCCAGACAUAGUAAGGAUUGACAGAUUGAUAGCUCU